UACGUAGGGUGCAAGCGUUGUCCGGAAUUAUUGGGCGUAAAGAGCUCGUAGGCGGUCUGUCGCGUCGGCUGUGAAAACCCGGGGCUCAACCCCGGGCCUGCAGUCGAUAUGGGCAGACUAGAGUGCGGUAGGGGAGACUGGAAUUCCUGGUGUAGCGGUGAAAUGCGCAGAUAUCAGGAGGAACACCGGUGGCGAAGGCGGGUCUCUGGGCCGAUACUGACACUGAGGAGCGAAAGCGUGGGGAGCGAACAGG
rnacentral:rRNA from 1 species